AUUGAACGCUGGCGGCAUGCUUUACACAUGCAAGUCGAACGGUAACAGGCCGCAAGGUGCUGACGAGUGGCGAACGGGUGAGUAAUGCAUCGGAACGUGCCCAGUCGUGGGGGAUAACGCAGCGAAAGCUGCGCUAAUACCGCAUACGAUCUAUGGAUGAAAGCGGGGGACCGUAAGGCCUCGCGCGAUUGGAGCGGCCGAUGUCAGAUUAGGUAGUUGGUGGGGUAAAGGCUCACCAAGCCAACGAUCUGUGGCUGGUCUGAGAGGACGACCAGCCACACUGGGACUGAGACACGGCCCAGACUCCUACGGGAGGCAGCAGUGGGGAAUUUUGGACAAUGGGCGCAAGCCUGAUCCAGCAAUGCCGCGUGCAGGAAGAAGGCCUUCAGGUUGUAAACUGCUUUUGUACGGAACGAAACGGUCCUGGUUAAUACCUGGGGCUAAUGACGGUACCGUAAGAAUAAGCACCGGCUAACUACGUGCCAGCCGCCGCAGUAAAAC
rnacentral:rRNA from 1 species